rnacentral:rRNA from 1 species
GACGAACCGUCCUACCGUGGUUCGGAAUCACUGGGCUUAAAGGGCGCGUAGGCGGGUUCCCAAGUCGGUGGUGAAAUCUUUCGGCCCAACCGGAAAACAGCCGCCGAUACUGGGAGUCUUGAGGGAGGUAGGGGUCGAUGGAACUUCCGGUGGAGCGGUGAAAUGCGUAGAUAUCGGAAGGAACGCCGGUGGCGAAAGCGAUCGACUGGACCUUUUCUGACGCUGAGGCGCGAAAGCCAGGGGAGCAAACGGG